rnacentral:rRNA from 1 species
GAUGAACGCUGGCGGCGUGCCUAAUACAUGCAAGUCGAGCGAACAGACGAGGCGCUUGCUCCUCUUACGUUAGCGGCGGACGGGUGAUUAACACGUGGCUAACCUACCUAUCAGACUUGGAUAACUUCGGGAAACCGUAGCUAAUACCGGAUAAUAUCUUGACCCGCAUGGUUCAUUAGUGAAAGACUGUUUUGCUUUCACUUAUAGAUGGAUCCGCGCCGCAUUAGCUAGUUGGUACGGUAACGGCUUACCAAGGCAACGAUGCGUAGCCGACCUGAGAGGGUGAUAGGCGACACGGGAAGUGAGACACGGACAAGACUCCUAAGGGAGGCAGCAGUAGGGAAUCGUACGCAAUGGGCGAAAGCAUGACGGAGCAAGGCCGAGUGAGUGAUGAAGAUCUUCGGAUCGGAAAAAUCUGUUAUGAGGGAAGAACAAAUGUGGAAGUAAAUAUGCACGUAGUGACGGUACCUAAUCAGAAAGCCACGGCUAACUACGUG